AAACUUGCGCUCGGGAGUUCAAGGAAUUACGUCCUAAUUUACGGGAUGUGAUAUUUCGAUAUCUUGAGACGAGGAAAUAUUUAGCAAUCGUUUUGAUCUAAUUCAAGCGCAUUUAAAAUCAACCUUAAUAAAAAAGGAUUGUAUUUUAAAUCCGUUUCCGAUUUUUAACUUUCGACGUUAAGACACUAACUAAUCAAUUCGGUACCAAUUUUGGGCGUGACGAAUAUGCUAAUCCUUCCUCGUACAUAACCGACUCUUGAACCCAUUCUCUCGAGUUUC
rnacentral:lncRNA from 1 species